rnacentral:lncRNA from 7 species
ACUCUUGGCUGCUGCUUUUUGUGUGCCCAGCCCCAUUUGCCCAGUCUGCCCGCCUCUGUGAUCCCCGCAGCACUGGCUGGAAGUCCGCCGCGUGUCAGUGAGGAGCUGCUGCAGAAGAAAGAAGAAGCGGCGUGGGGACCUGGGCUGCAAAAUCAAGAUGGGGUAUCUGUUGACUGUUUUUCUUGUAUUUCUUUGCCUUUUGGAGCCACAGUUUUGAACGGUUGUGUAAGACUUUAUCACUCUUUUUGUCAGCGUCGUCAGCUGUGAAUAAAGUUUUUUUUCCAUGUUGUUUUUCCUGUUAUAUUUGCUGUUCAUUUCCUUUGUGUAUUUAUUCUUGGUUUUGAGUCUUUGGUAGCAUUAAUUAUUUUGUUUCUUACUAGUUGAUUUUCCUGCCAAGCUUUCUCACAGAAUCUCAGAGUGGUGCAGGUUUGAAGGUACCUCAAGUAUCAUGGAUCUCCAUUCUCCUUGACACAGGUGUGGCCACUAACCUUCUCAUUUGAUACUAGACCAGGCUGUCCAGAGCCCCAUCCAACCUGGCCUUGAACAUCUCCGGGGACGGUGUAUCCGCAGUCUCUCUGGGCAGCUUGUUUCUCUGCCUCGCCGUUCUUAUAGUGAAGAACUUCCCCCUGACAUCCAACCUAAAUCUUCCCUCCCUGAACUUAAAACCAUUUCCCCUUGUUCUCCUGUUAUCUAUCCUGUCAAACAGUUGACUCCCCUCCUGUUUAUA